CUACAGUGACUAUUCAGAUUGCAAUAAUCCACCAUUCUAGUAGGUGGGGGCUUAGCCGUCUAUAUUGGGUUCAGAAAAAAAUAACGUGCUAUUUCUUGUAGAAAAAAACAAAAAAUAUGAAAUAAUGCAGUAAAAACAAAAAGUGAAAUAUGUUAUGAGAGGUGAAGUUUGAACGACAGGAGUUCAGAGGAGAACUGGCUCACUUAUCACUCCAGGUGGUGGGGUGGGGCGAGGGGACAAAGG
rnacentral:lncRNA from 1 species